ACAUUUUUUUUCCCUCUGGGGUCUGUGAUUUUAGGCUCGAAUGGAGCAGGACAGAUUCCGUGGACCAUACGUCGACUUAUAGCAUUCGGUGUGGGAUAUGGCCUAGGUGUUUUUGUACUUGGAGAUAAGGUAGCAGAAGUUGAGGAGGAUCGUCAAAAGUAUGUGAGGGAUGUUUAUGGGGAGUCAUCGAAAAUCGUCGAUCUGAGGCAGGAGAUGUGGAAAUUUUGAGGUCUCUUGCAGAAGUCAUUUCAAGUAUCGCCGUAACAAAUACUGCUGCUAUAAUUUGUGUCUCUCUCUUGCUUUCUCGAAUUUAAGUUGCGGCUCGGUUUGCCCAAUUCUUACUACGUAAGUGAACUAAAGUUAAUGUUUGAGGAGAAAUCUUGUUGCUUAGUGGUGUGAAUGAAAGAACAUUCAUGGAUAGUGUUAUAUGAUGAUACUAAGGGGUUCUGUUGCUUGCGUAA